AUGAAUAAUCACAAGGUGGAGGUGUGCCCGCUCAGACCCAGAGCUGGCACAGGGACCUCUCCCAGAAGGCUGCAGGGCUUCCCUCCUAACCCUCCAACUGCUCACUUGCUGAGCCUGUGCUUAUCUGUUCAGUGGAACUGCUGUGUGCCACGUUCCUCAGAAAGGCUCUUCCGGGGCUGGGUUCUGACGGUUCCCCUGUUUUAGCACAGCUCUUGUUGGCAGGCAGAUGGCUACGAGCACAGCCACAGGCUGAAGUGUCAACAUUUCAGACAACACAGACGGUACAAUGACAAAUUGGGGAUCAGCUCCAAUCUCAGCCCCCCAUUUAAUAUGUUGCUGAAUAUUCUUCUGAACAGAGUCCAUCCCACACUGUCCCAUGGUACAAGACGCUCCAAGGGGCUGAAGAGAGAGGGACUUCUGCAGUCAACACAUCUGGGACACUCUUGGACAGUCACAAUGUGCAUUUGGAUAUUAAAGGCUCUGAAAAGUUCUGCACCAAAUAAACCCCCGGAUUGGCUUGAUCCAAUGCCACGUUUCCAAAACCUACUUGCCCAUGGGACACCUUAGUCCAUAACACAGGUUGGCAUUUCUUCUAGAGAGUGUGCUCUGAAAAGCACUGGUCUCACAACACCGUGCAUUCAUCCAGCAGGUAUUUACCAAGCAGGGACUUUGGGCCAGGUCCGAUUUGGGCUCUGGAGGUGGACCAGUCAGCCCUGGCCCCCAUGGUGUCACUUCUCAUGGGAGAGGCAGCACAGAAGUCAUUGAGAAAAUGAAGAAACACACAGGUACUUUCAGAUGCUGAUAAUGACUACCACGAGAAAAAAGAGCUCCAGGUGGUAUCAUUUUGAGACAAUCUUCUCAACAAUGAGACAGAAUGAACCAUGCAAACUUUGGGGUCUAUGAUGGUUUUGGGAAAGAGCUAGAGUGAAGAAUCCUUUGACAUAUAUUGAUACAAAUAAAGAUACAUGUGUAUAAUUUUAUGUAAUUGACAUCACAUUAUAUGCUGGCACCUGCCUUUUGUAAAUGUCACAAAUGAAAUGCCUUAAUGAAAAUGUCAAAGGUAAUAUUACCAAUCAAUAAAUAUAUUUCGCCAUCAUGUU